rnacentral:lncRNA from 10 species
AAUAAAUUAAUGCCUUUGCUGUUGGUGGGGGCAGGGAGCAUGGUACAGGGGUGACUGAGUUCCUGCUUUGUUAGUUCCCACUGAAACUGAUUGACAAAAAGGGCCUGGCACCUCUCUCUUCUCUCUCUUUCUCUCUCUCACCAUGUGAUCUAUGCAUGCCUGUUCCCGUCUGCUUGCACUAAGAAUGGAAACAGCCUAAGUUCCUCACCAGAAGCAGAGGCUGGCACCAUGUUUGUUAUGCAGCCUGCAGAACCAGAAAUCAUGGGAAAAACUGCCCAUUUCUGUUUUGUCCACUUUGCUUUGGGAAGUGAGAGCUAUAGUCAUUAUCACCACAUCCCCUGGCAUCCAAUUCCGCUCCUAGGAAGAAGGAACUUGCCUUGUCUCAGAUCAGACUUUUGGACUUGGACUUUUGAGUUAAUGCUGGAAUGGAUUAAGACUUCGGGGGACUGUUGAGAAGGGAUGAUUGGUUUUGAAAUGUCAGGACAUGAGCUUUGGGAGGGAUCGGGGCAGAAUGAUUUGUGUCUCCACUCAUAUCUCAUCUUGAAUUAUAAUCCCCAGGUGUGGACAGAGAGAACUGGUGGGAAGUAAUUGAAUCAUAGGGGCAGUUCCUCCCAUGUGUUCUUGUGAGAGUGAGUUAGUUCUUUUGAGAUCAGGUGGUUUAAGCCAGUUUUUCCUGCCCUCUCUUGCACUCAUGCACUCUCUCUUCCCUGCCACCCUGUAAAAUAUGCCUGCUUCCUUUCUCCAUGGUUGUAAGUUUCCUGAGUCCCCCCAGCCAUGUAAAACUGGGGGUCAAUUAAACCACUUUUCUUCAUCAAUUA